AUUGAACGCUGGCGGCAGGCCUAACACAUGCAAGUCGAACGAGUGGCGGACGGGUGAGUAAGGUCUGGGAAACUGCCCGAUGGAGGGGGAUAACUAAGGGAAACAGUAGCUAAUAACGCAUACCAUCGGAUGUGCCCAGAUGGGAUUAGUGAGUAGGUGGGGUAACGGCUCACCUAGGGGACGAUCACGAGCUGGUCUGAGAGUAGGACCAGCCACCCUGGAACUGAGACACGGGCCAGCCUCCUACGGUAGGCAGCAGUGGGGAAUAUUGGACAAUGGGCGCAAGCCUGAUGCAGCCAUGCCGCGUGUACGAAGAAGGCCUUCGGGUUGUAAAGUACUUUCAGCGAGGAGGCGUUACUCGCAGAAGAAGCACCGGCUAACUCCGUGCCAGCAGCCGCGGUAAUAC
rnacentral:rRNA from 1 species